CUGGUCUCUCACCACAUUUUGAAAAGAUGAAUUCUACUUCUGUUGAGAAAUGAUACUAGUGAAUUAUUUCCUUUCCACCAGUAUUGUCGUUUGGUAGAACCAUGAACAACAGCUGCAGAAAAUUAGGCCUGGGAGCAGAGGGAUGAGCAGUGGUGGGGAGGCCUGAAGGAUGCCAGCACAGGGCGCUCAUUCUUUACUACUAAAGAAAGCCCAUUUCUUUUUUAUUUGAAGACUGCCGUUAAUGCUUGGUGAACAAACGUGGUUUUGGUUCAGCUGCUGUACCACAAAGGCUCAAGUCAGCUUUUUGGGAGCCUGAGGUCUGAGUCUGCCUUGGGUCGACCAUGGCCCUUUGUGCAUGGAGCUACAGAUUAAAAAAAUAACAGCAAAAUCAGGCUUCAUUUUUAACAUGUUCCUGUUUUCUUUCAUCAGAAGUUCUGAAAUGCUUCAGAGGAGGUAGCUGAGAGUCAUAAUCUCAACCAUCAUGAUUUCUCAUAAGCGUUAAGAGAAACUGCAGCUUUACUGAAUAUAGUGCCUGUUUUAAAUGGUGUGUGGCUCGCUUCUUUUUAAUAGGAGUUCAAGAGCAGAGGCAAGUAAAACCUAAUGAAAGCGCCUAGAAGAUUUUGUUUUGAUACCCCACGGCAGCCCUCAUUUAUACUGGAGGGGGAAAAGAUUUCUUUAUAGCAAGGCCUGCAGAAGCCAGAAAUUUAAUCUUUCCAUACAACUUAUUUUAUUGCAUUUUUAAUUUUCUGUUGCAUUACUGUGACCCUUUUCUAUAGCUUUUGAUGCCUGGUGCUUAAUUACUUAUCAUUAGCAAUGUACAUGGGGGCCUUCCUGCAUAUUUAGAAAUGCGAUCAUUAGUACAUGGGAAGACAAAGACUUCUUUAAGACCAUCAUUAGUUAUUCUGUUUUCAUAGAAAUGUUCAUUAGAGAAACUACCCACCUGGUUAAAUAAUUAUAAUUAAGAAUUGGUAAUCUCCUUUGCAUUUUUAACUCAAUCUUCGGGAUGUGUGUGCAUAACUAAAGGAGCCUUGUUUGGCCAUCAUACUAUCUUUUCUUUUCAAUUUGAAUUGUCAAGCAGGUUUAAAUGCUGUGUUUUGAAACCAUAUACCCUAGGAAUGAUUUAUGGAAAUAUAGGUUAUUAAAAAGAGAAAGAAAGAAAGAAAUCAACCCAGCAAUUAUCUCUGAAUUCAUUAACUGCGCACUGGCAGCGAGAGGUUAUAUAAGCCAUUUACUGUAAUGCGCGGUAUGGAGUUAAAACAAAAUGUCACUGGGGCCUGAUUUCUCAGCCCCAUCUGCGGUUCUCACCGCAGACACCCAGCCUGCUGGGGUACGCUUCCAGAAGGGUGUGAUUUCCAUUUUCUGAUCGGGUAUUGCUUGGAAAUGCUGACAGUGAGUGCAGUCGUGUUGGUUCUCCUGCUCGCGGCCAUCAUGGGGAGCUGGUGGGAGGCCCUCCCCAUAUAGGUGUGUGCACCCAUCCUCUGAGAGGCUGUGGGGAAGGAGAGCGUGGGCACAGGGAGGGCUCACCUCUCCUGAGCCACGGGGAUGGAAGAGCUCAUCAGUGGCAUAAAUAUCAUCUGUAAACAAUUAAGCAGCUACUGCUCAUUCAGGGCAGUUUUGAGAAGCAAAGGAAGUCUGCAAUCAGUUAUAUCUCCAAUUACCAUAAAAAUAUAUUAGCCAUUCAUUCAUUUAUUAAUGAUUCAUCAGUUAACCACACAUAAUGAGCAAAUAAUUAGCAAUGCUGUACGGUUGCCAAAAUUGAAGAAGUGUUGGCAUUUUAAAGAUGAAAGGUUGCAUUUAUGUAAAAAGUCGGGUGGUGAUAAAGUUAAUGCAGAAGAUAAUUAUAAAAGUGGCUGUCCUAUUUUAGAGGCUGAGGUCCCGCAAAACUUGUCUAAUUGAACUGAAAUUAAUAUUCUUCAGAAGCACGCAUGUUACGGCAUACCGGCUGCUGAAUCUACUCGGAGAUCUCCCUUCAGUAAGGACUGUAACAGGAGCUUGCUGGAUCUUGGCUCUCUAUUUAGAGUAAGAAUGAGAGAAAUUGAAGUUCCCCCUGUUCUGCACAAAGCACAGGAGAAGGACGAGAAGUAGGAGUUGCCUGUCUCCAGCUACAGCCCAGGCACAGGGGACAGAGGUGCACCCAGAGCCGCUGCAGUGCAGCUGACUUCCUCCACAUCCAGAAGUGAUGGAAGAAAACUUUGGUGCUGAGUCAUGUUUCCUUCCCGUGGGCUCAUGCUGGGAUGGACAGACGUGCCUGCACUGUGCUGGUGUCUUUCAUAUGCCUACAGUCCGUGGUUACUUCUCAUUCAAUAGCAAUUACCGUAUGCCCGUUUUGUGCUAAGGGCUGCUCGAGGUGGAUGCUGUGGUCCCUGUCAGAUGUGUGCCAAAUUGAAAUGCCAGCAGCUGUGUGAGCAGCGGGAUAAUCGUAUCUGCUGCUUCUCUCUUCCAAGUCCUGGCAUUCCCAUUUUAGCAGUGGUGUGUCCAUGCUCAGCUCCACAGGAGGAAAUCCAUUGACUGAAGCCGUGCUGACACCUGGGGGACGUGGCUGCAUGCUCAUCAGUCACCUGUGUGACUGCAGACCCACUGGAGAACACAACCCUGGAGGCAGCAGUUUUUAUCAACUUCUCCUGCUGACCAGAUGAAGGCUCAGUGAUAAAUAAACGUCCUCCCACCCACUACAGCUCCCCAGCCCUCACCGUCUCCCGCUGGCUGCUGGGAUGCAGAGCAAUGGGAGAGCAAUGGACUGUCAUCAAAGAAGGCCAUGAGCUGCUCUGCCAGUGGAGAAGAACUGCUUCUGCUCAUUCAGGACGCAUACAGUACUGCUGCUCUAUUCUUGUAGCCAAGACAGUGUCAGAUGAACGUUUUCUGCCGGCUACAACAUAUGAAAAAGUGAGUACGUUAUCCAAUAA